rnacentral:rRNA from 1 species
GACGAACGCUGGCGGCGUGCUUAACACAUGCCAGUCGAACGGUGAAGGGAUCAGCUUGCUGGUUCUGGAUGAGUGGCGAACGGGUGAGUAACACGUGAGUAACCUGCCCCCUUCUUCUGGAUAACCGCAUGAAAGUGUGGCUAAUACGGGAUAUUCUGCGCCUGCUGCAUGGUGGGUGUGGGAAAGAUAUUGUUUCGGUGGGGGAUGGGCUCGCGGCCUAUCAGCUUGUUGGUGGGGUGAUGGCCUACCAAGGCGGUGACGGGUAGCCGGCCUGAGAGGGUGGACGGUCACACUGGGACUGAGACACGGCCCAGACUCCUACGGGAGGCAGCAGUGGGGAAUAUUGCACAAUGGGCGCAAGCCUGAUGCAGCGACGCCGCGUGAGGGAUGGAGGCCUUCGGGUUGUGAACCUCUUUCGCCAGUGAAGCAGGCCUGUCCCUUGUGGGUGGGUUGACGGUAGCUGGAUAAGAAGCGCCGGCUAACUACGUG